UCUCUUUUUCAAUCAGGUUGUUUCAGGUAAUCUUUUGCCGCAUAGUCUGCCCUAGCUGACGCUGUGCAGAGAAUACUACGAUUGGAAACGGUUGGUUAGACCCGUUCGCACUGCACAAGAAAGCAAGAUGGACCGUAGUGAUGAGAGAAUCAAAAGAGCUUUAAGGCGCCGCCCUUAUGUGUUGAAUCCAGUGAGGGUGAACACCCCUGAUUCUGUGAUGUGGCCAACCGGUAAGGUACACAGAAGACCAAGGCCUUCUACUUCAGCGCAGACCCCUCAGAUCCACAAAAGGCCUGUAAGUCACAUUCAAAUCAAUCACAUAACAGUAGCUACUUAAAUGAUUUAUUGAUGGCUACAUCAUUUAUUUCCAAGUUAUUUCCAAG
rnacentral:lncRNA from 1 species